rnacentral:rRNA from 1 species
UACGGAGGGUGCAAGCGUUAAUCGGAAUUACUGGGCGUAAAGCGUGCGUAGGUGGUUCGUUAAGUCCGUUGUGAAAGCCCCGAGCUCAACUUGGGAAUUGCAGUGGAUACUGGCGAGCUGGAGUGCGGUAGAGGAAGGUGGAAUUCCCGGUGUAGCGGUGAAAUGCGUAGAGAUCGGGUGGAACACCAGGGGCGAAGGCGGCAUCCUGGCGGUCAACUGACGCUGAGGAGCGAAAGUGUGGGGAGCGAACAGG